rnacentral:rRNA from 1 species
UACGGAGGGGGCUAGCGUUGCUCGGAAUCACUGGGCGUAAAGCGCACGUAGGCGGCUUUCUAAGUCAGGGGUGAAAUCCUGGAGCUCAACUCCAGAACUGCCUUUGAUACUGGAGAGCUUGAGUCCGGGAGAGGUGAGUGGAACUCCGAGUGUAGAGGUGAAAUUCGUAGAUAUUCGGAAGAACACCAGUGGCGAAGGCGGCUCACUGGCCCGGUACUGACGCUGAUGUGCGAAAGCGUGGGGAGCAAACAGG